rnacentral:lncRNA from 1 species
UGUGUUUCAUUGAACAGUGUGGGAUUUAUUUCCAGGGAAAUAUGUUUGAUUGCGUUUGACAAUUUAUUUCUAACAGCAGGCCUUUAUGUUGCCUGACAACCUGCUCAUGAAACUGCAUGGGGGGGUCUCACAAGUCAUUUGUGAGAUGCUGUAGGCAAGGGUGCCGUCCCAAGAAAAAAGUCACAGAUCCCAUGAGCUCAGCCCAUAAUAUAAGCCCAAGAAGCUCCUCAGAAUUGGGCUAUAUUUCCGUUGACUGCGUUUGCACAUGACUGCAUGCACACACCAGUAUUUAAUUUUUCUUUGGUUUAACACAAAAUACUGAAUGUGAAACCCUAUGUUUCAAGUCCCAGCAGUUCCAAAGAAAGUUGUCCCAGUAAAGAAAGUACCUGAAGCUGUUCCCAAAAAAGUGGAGCCACCACCUCCUCCUCCUCCUAAAGUGCCUGAGGCUCCUAAGCCUGUCCCAGAAGAGAAAGUCCCCGUUCCCAAAAAGGUGCCGGCGCCUCCUGCAAAAGGUACAUCCAGCUCUGUCACAUAUAAAAACAUUCAUGGUGUCAUUAACUGAUAGGACCUGUCACUCCACUAACUACAUUGUGUCCCAAAUACCUAGAGCUGCAUAAACAACAUGUGUCAACCCUCUAGCUCUGUAUGUUGUCUGAAGUCUCAGAGUGUGACCAGUGUUGUGCUGAAAAGUAGUGUUAAAGUAAUGUUAUGUCUUUAAAGUGCCUGAGGUGCCCAAGAAAGUUGUCCCUGAAAAGAAGGUGCCAGCCCCUCCUCCUAAAAAAGUGGAGGCACCACCUGCGAAAGGUACAUCUAUUCUUACCUGUAUUUUAAAAGAAUAUUCUUUCGUCUUUCUAGAUUGUGUGUUUUCUUAGUCUGUCCAAUACAGUAGGACCUCUGUAUCUGCGGGAUCGAUAUCCACGGUUUCACUUAUCCAGGGUUUGCCACAGCCCUAUACACAACAUACAAGGGCACCCAUUUGUGGCCCAUGUCCUCCUCCUUGUGGCCUUUGUCUCACCCUCUUGUAAGUUGUAUAUAGGGUUCCCUCAUAUCCACAGUUUUAGGCAUCCACGGCAGAUAUGGGGGUCCUACUGCAUGUGUA